rnacentral:rRNA from 1 species
UACAGAGGUCUCAAGCGUUGUUCGGAUUCAUUGGGCGUAAAGGGCGCGUAGGCGGCCAGCGCAAGUCAGUUGUGAAAUCUCCGGGCUUAACUCGGAACGGUCAACUGAUACUGCGCGGCUAGAGUGCAGAAGGGGCAACUGGAAUUCUCGGUGUAGCGGUGAAAUGCGUAGAUAUCGAGAGGAACACCUGCGGCGAAGGCGGGUUGCUGGGCUGACACUGACGCUGAUGCGCGAAAGCCAGGGGAGCGAACGGG